ensembl:lncRNA
GAGACGGUUCCCUGGAUGAUAAGAGUGGACUUGUUGAAGCUACAGGUGACAGUCGGCCACAGACGCUCAGUGAAGAACCAACAGCUGAUGGUGGACCUGGAAUUAGUAUCAACUAUAUCGUAGAAAUGAACAGAACAUACCAAAAAAAACAUCCAGAUAAAUGUUGCCAUCCGGAUGGAGUGAAUGUGAUUGUGGUUGGAUGAGAAGUGUUGGGAGCGGCUAGGGGGUCGUAUUAGGUUACUAGCAAAUGAGGAUCUAACUUAUGGACAUUAAUAGAAUUAUUACUAAUCACUAAGAUACUUCUCAGAAUGAAUAAAUAACGGGGCACCACCCUGAGCUAACAGGGACUAAUAACCAAUACUAUAAAUCAAGUCUCAUAAUUGAUAUUCACUCCUUGAGGGUGAAGAUGUUGGAAGGAGUUAAGUUCGAGCACUGGCGAUGUAUGUCAACGGUCACCAUAUAAAUGCACAAGUAAACACAGGAAAACGGUUCUUUAAAGUAUAACAGGGUUUAUUAACUCACAGGAACACCGAUCAAGAUCACCUAUAACUGCAACCAACAAUCCCCAUAACACUUAUUUUAAACCUACUCACUAAACAAGCAAUCAAAACCAGAGUGUGUGUGUGUGUGUGGGGUCCAAACUUUUUUCACUGAGGGCCACAGACAGAAAAAUAUGCGAAAGGUUGAGCCGCUCACUAAAGUUAAGGUAUAUCACCACUAGUGUAUUAACAGUAAUACAAAUCAAUCAAUCAAUCAAAUGUAGGUAAAUUAUGCUUGAUAAAUUAUUAUACUUACAGAAAAAACUGCAUACAUCACAUCUUUCUAUGUAUGGGUUUUCAUUUAUCUAUUUUCAAAUAAACUGCAGCCUCAAAUUGCUUCUUCGUCAGGAUGGGGACCCCCUUCACAGCCCCGUAUAAAGAGGGAAGGCUUUAUUUAACCUACUUAUGCAAAUCAUUUAUCAGCUAACCUGUUUUAGAAAAUCAACUUUAAUUGACUGCAUUUAUUAAGUAAUUGGGCUUUUGAACACAUGAAUACUGUGUAAUAUAUUUGAACUCGCCUACAAUGGGAACAGUGUUGCAC